rnacentral:rRNA from 1 species
UAGGGAAUCUUCCGCAAUGGGCGAAAGCCUGACGGAGCAACGCCGCGUGAGUGAUGAAGGUCUUCGGAUCGUAAAACUCUGUUAUUAGGGAAGAACAAAUGUGUAAGUAACUAUGCACGUCUUGACGGUACCUAAUCAGAAAGCCACGGCUAACUACGUGCCAGCAGCCGCGGUAAUACGUAGGUGGCAAGCGUUAUCCGGAAUUAUUGGGCGUAAAGCGCGCGUAGGCGGUUUUUUAAGUCUGAUGUGAAAGCCCACGGCUCAACCGUGGAGGGUCAUUGGAAACUGGACAACUUGAGUGCAGAAGAGGAAAGUGGAAUUCCAUGUGUAGCGGUGAAAUGCGCAGAGAUAUGGAGGCACACCAGUGGCGAAGGCGACUUUCUGGUCUGUAACUGACGCUGAUGUGCGAAAGCGUGGGGAUCAAACAGG